AUUGUUGAUUCAUCUCAACGAUAUUAUCGAUAUUUAACGAUAACAAUAUCAAUUGUCAAUUUUAAUUCUUUAUCACUGUCGUCCUAACCUAAAUCUAAACCAAGAAUCUAGAACGAUCAAAUGAACGAUCCAACACAUGAACUCGAUAGAAAGACGCAAUUCGAUUUAUUAUUGAUAUUAUCGAUAUUUAUCGAUAUCGAUUGUCAUAACUCCACUAUCGUCCUAACCUAAACUCAAACCAAGAAUCUAGAAUGAUCGAAAUGAACAAUCCAAUGCGGUGAACUCGAUCGAAAUAGACGCAAGUUUAAUCCGAUAAUUCUCCCCACCGAAGGUAUCAAAGGUUAUCGAGUAACGAACGUCUAUACUCCCCGAUGAAACGUUGGAUACGUUUGACAGGAAACCACGGUUAGUCGAAGGUCCCGAAGGAAAUCACCUCUAUCGUUGUUUCGGUUAGAGAAUACUUGCAAAUUGACAAAUUUGAGGAAAGAAACAUUUUUCAAGAAAAAUGUUUCAACAAAAAACGAUGAAUAGAUUGGUUAUUUCAAAACGAAGAACACGUUAUAAAAGUGACUGUGAAUUUUGAGCCGAGGACGUUUAAAUGAGAAUUUCAACUUUGAAUAAUGCAUACGAGGCAAGCAUGGCGUCAAUAUUUUCCUUCGAUCGAUAGUUAUGGAGAAUGGUCCUUCUCACGGUAAUUUUGCAUGGGGAACGGGCAAAAAUAGCUACGUUGGACAAUGCCAACUUCAUCAUUCUCCUCGAUCUUCUGGAGACUCGAAUAUGACACCUGGCUUAUUAGUCGAGCUGAUCUGUCAAGGAUCCCUAGCUGGACCGUGGAGAGGAAACUCUCGGUUGGACGCGCGGGAAAGAAGAUAGCGUAAUUUUAUGCGCAUUCCUUCGACAAAUUUACGCCCACCAAGAGAAGAGGAAGAGUCGUGUCGCUCGCGAGCGCGAUUCUACGCCAGGCAAAAGCCGCGCCGGUUUAUUUUCGACUUGGAAAAGUUUAAAGUUAGACAGCCGGUAGGUACGACGUGCCUACUAGCGUACAAUGUUACAGUGAGCCAAGUUGUAGAUCGUCAAACUUAACAAUACACGGUUUAUGGUGAAUUGAAUUUCUAUGUUGAAGAUAUAAAAAUGCAAUUUUAAUCAUU